rnacentral:rRNA from 1 species
UGGGGAAUAUUGGACAAUGGGGGGAACCCGUGAUCCAGCCAUGCCGCGUGUGUGAAGAAGGCCUUAUGGUUGUAAAGCACUUUAAGCGAGGAGGAGGCUACUAGUAUUAAUACUACUGGAUAGUGGACGUUACUCGCAGAAUAAGCACCGGCUAACUCUGUGCCAGCAGCCGCGGUAAUACAGAGGGUGCGAGCGUUAAUCGGAUUUACUGGGCGUAAAGCGUGCGUAGGCGGCCAUUUAAGUCAAAUGUGAAAUCCCCGAGCUUAACUUGGGAAUUGCAUUCGAUACUGGAUGGCUAGAGUAUGGGAGAGGAUGGUAGAAUUCCAGGUGUAGCGGUGAAAUGCGUAGAGAUCUGGAGGAAUACCGAUGGCGAAGGCAGCCAUCUGGCCUAAUACUGACGCUGAGGUACGAAAGCAUGGGGAGCAAACAGGAUUAGAUACCCUGGUAGUCCAUGCCGUAAACGAUGUCUACUAGCCGUUGGGGCCUUUGAGGCUUUAGUGGCGCAGCUAACGCGAUAAGUAGACCGCCUGGGGAGUACGGUCGCAAGNCUAAAACUCAAAGGAAUUUGACGGGGUCAUAGCUGUUUCCUG